rnacentral:lncRNA from 1 species
AAGGUGCCAUGAACUGAGAAAGAUUGAGAACUUCUGGUCUAUACCUUUGAUCAGAGCUCACUUUUAUUAAUUCUAAAUUCCCUUUGCGGACUUUGAUUCUUUUUUUUUUUUUUUUUUUUUUUUUUGGCAGCCUUAAGCUUUCCCUUGAGAAUGAAAAUUUAAAACUUGUAAAUUUUUUGUACACCCAUGUUCAUAGCAGCAUUACUCACAAUAGCCAAAAGGUGGAAGCCAUCCGUGUCCAUCAAUGGAUGAAUGGAUACACAAAAUGUGGUAUAUACGUACCAUGGAGUAUUUUUCAGUCUUAAAAAGGGAUAAAAUUCUCACAACCUUGAAAACAUUAUGCUAAGUGAAAUAAGCUAGGCACAAAAGGACAAAUACUGUAUAAUUCCACUUAUAUGAGGUACCCACGGUAGUCAAAUUCAUAGAGACAGAAAGUGAAGGCCGGGCACGGUGGCUCAUGGGGACCAGUUUUGUGUAAGACAAUUUUUCCAAAGAUGGGGGUUGGGGGGAUGGUUUGGGGAUGAUUCGAGUGCAUUACAUUUAUUGUGCACUUUAUUUCUGUUAUUAUUACAUUGUAACAUAUAAUGAAAUAAUUACACAACUAACUAUAAUGUAGAAUUAGUGGGAGCCCUGAGCUUGUUUUCCUGCAACUAGAUGGUCCCAUCUGGGGGUGAUGGGAGACAGUGACAGGUCAUCAGGCAUUAGAUUCUUGUAAGGAGCAUGCAACCUAGAUCCCUCACAUGUGCGGUUCACAAAUAGGGUUCACAUUCCCAUGUCACUCCUUCACUCCAGUCAAGGAGGCAGAGGCCAGGCAGUAAUGUGAGCCAUGGGGAGUGGCUGUAAAUACAGAUGAAGCUUCUCUCACUUCUCUCACCAGUAUGGUGGCCCAAGGCUGGAGACCCCUGCACUAGAAGAUCAGGGCUGCUGUCACUCAAAGGAACAAGGUGGAAACUGUUUCCACCUAAGAGUUCAAAUUAAAACCAAACACGGUGGCUCACACCUGUAAUCCCAGCACUUUGGGAGGCCAAGGCAGGUGGAUCACUUGAGCUCAGGAGUUUGAGAUCAGCCUGGGCAACAUAGCGAGAUCUCAUCUCUACUAAACAUUUUUUUAAAAUAUUAGCCAGGUGUGGUGGUGUACGCCUGUGGUCCCAGCCACUCAGGAGGCUGAGGCAGGAGGAUCGCUUGAGCCCGGAAGGCUGAGACAGCAGUGAGCUGUGAUUGUGCCACUGUACUCGAGCCUGGGCGACAGAGUGAGUGAGACUGUCUCAAAAACAAAAAAACAAAAUUUAAAAAAUAAAUUAAAACCAAACACUAUCUUAUACCCAAUAAAAAAUAAUAUGCAAAGUCCAUAAAAUGAUUAUAUUUAUUGUCAUGGCUACCCAUGUGCCCAUGUGUGAAGCUUCUACUCUGACUGGCUCCUUUUUUUUUUUUUUUUUUUUUUUUUUUUUUUUUUUUGAGAUGAAGCCUCCCUCUGUUGCCCAGACUGGAGUGCAAUGGCAUGGUCUUGGCUCACUGCAACUUCCGCCUCGUAGGUUCAAGCAAUUCUCCUGCCUCAGCCUCCCGAGUAGGUGGGACUACAGGCACGCACCACCAUGCCCAGCUGAUUUUUGUGUUU